UUCAUGCAAGCAGUGCGGGACUAAGCAUGCUCAGUGAAAAAGCUCGUCUCCUUUGCCUGUCAAGCCCUAUGUUUGAACUCGUUCCAGAAUACUGGAUUUACUUUUCACAAGGAAAGAAUACCUGACUGGACUGCAGUUUUUCUUUCUUUCUUUUCUGUAGUACCCAGAAGAUUGGAAACAGUAUUCUUUUUAUGAUCAAUGCAGUCUCAGUCAAUACAAUAUGCUUUAAUGCAAAUAUGAGCAUUUCAGUGGAGAAAGAAGAGAAACUUUGCUACCUGUGAAAUGAAGACUUCUUAGGCUGCAGUGGACCUUUAAGGCACUAAUAAAAUAUAAUAUUGUUCAGACGUCGGACAUGGAAACUUCCUGUGACUUCAGUGGGAAUUGCUCAUAUCCAGGAGAGGGAAUGGAUCCUCUGGGUUGCACUGGAGACAAGCCUCUGAGUGAGAAUGACACAAAAAAGCUGCUGGCAGAGCAGUGGAAACCUUACUACUGAAUCUUCUCUCCAGACUUCCAGCCUUGGGUUACAACGGGGUUCAUCUAGACAUCACACUUCAAGCGCAGGGAACAAAAGGAGAAGAAAGAAGAAAAAAGAAGGUGUGGUGUAAAGCUACCCAGUGGCACAAAUAUUUAUGCUGGUUGUAAUGUUACUGCCGUUGGUAGAAUUAGUCCUGACUUAUGCUAGCAGAAGUGAGAGAAGACAUAGACUGAGGCCAUCCAGAAUGAAAGCCCCUGGUUCAUCAAGGUAGAUUGACUGGACUGCGACUGGGACAGAAGGAUCACAGAAGCUGGGUUAAAGUUAGAUUCAAAGCAGGCAGAAGACUGCAAGGGACUCGUGAAGCAACCAUGAUGAGCAGGUACCUGAAUGCUGCUGCAGCGUCCCUGGUGCAUCUAAACCAGCAGUGGUUCUGCUGCCUGGCGGAUUCCAGAUGUGGGGAGCAGUUGCAGAGGGUUUGCAACUGGUGCGUCACGAAAAGCCCAGCUCUAUAGGCACUCGUGGGGGCAGGAUCAGGACUGGUGGAUGAGACCUGCUGCAAGUUUGCCCGAGAAUCAGUGUGGGCUGAGAGUAUGGGACUAGCAUUUCUAAUCUCAUCUCUGCCAGAGACUUAAUAUGGGACUUGGGGAAGUCUUCGAACCUUCAGUCUCACUAUCCAUGCAAGGCAGCACUCCCCACCCUGGCCCUCCCUGCUCAGAACUAAGGAUCCUGCCUAAUUCUUUGGACCAGGAAAGCAUAUUUCAAGAUCAGCAUGGAACAAUUAAACCAAUGAUCUCUAUGCUUCAAGGAGAAAACUGAGCUGCAGUAGCUCUGCUUUGACAGGUCUUUGGAGGAUUUCAAGGAAGUUACACCCACUUCAUUCAUGAUAAUCGGCUGUUUAAUGCAGAGCAGCUCAGUGUUAUGAAUGAAAGGGAGCAUGUUUUGGCUUGCAGAUCAACUCACAAAUAUAACGCUUCAUUCGUCAAAUACCCAGCAAUGUAACGAUCUGACUUCAUUCUUGAAAUGGAAAUUAAUGAAUUGCAAGAUUCUCCGAAAAAAAUGCAUCCUCUGUGUCUUUAAAGAUCCAGAAACAGUUUCCCCUCUCCUUUCUGCGGACGUACGAGUCACGGUGGCUGGAGAACUUGGAAGAAAACCAUAGCCUCUGGACUGAGUUUGGUGCAGCUGAAAUAAGGUCUCGGACGGUAUGGGAAGAGAUCAAGGAUGGAAGAGUAUUUCUUUUUUCCACUCAUUUGCAGGAGCCCUGGUGCAAGGAGUCUUCUAAGGCUUAAGAGACAUAUGACAAAACAAAAAGUCUUUGGCACAGACCUGAAAGGGGAGCUGGGGAAUAAGCUGUUCCUGCUUCUACAGUGCGAAUACAACUCUUCAUCACAAUGCAUGAGCCCCAUUCCACAUUGAUCUCGCAAGCACAGAGGCAAGCUAAGAGCCUGAGUGAAGGAAUUUAAUUAGACACAGGGGUUGUUUCUGGGGUUAAAAUACUCGGUGUUACCCUCCAGGCAGCGCAUACUUGUUUGGAUUCUGAUCCAAACCACAUGAAAGCCCAUGGACUUUGACUCAGUACUUUGCUGCAUUCCCUGACUUGAGGAGGAGGAGAAGGCUGUGGUUUCCAGAACAAGGGGCUGGAGCACUGGAUGACGUGGUAGUGGUUGAAAGAUGAUUCAUACCAAACCUAAAGCUCAGCAGCUCAGAUGGUGGCACUAUGUUGGCUUUCUCCAGUGGCGCACAGCAAACGUUUGCAGGCAGUUGACUACCGGAGAAUUAAUACCACCCCCCCAUAGGAGGGAGUGGCCUUUUAGUGAUCAAGGAUGUAUUUCUAGAAGUGUUGGGCCUAGCAAGAUGGCAGCGCGUGUACAAUAAGAAUUCUUAUGAAGUGCCGCCGCGAAGCACGACAAGUUUGACAAACAUUUUGUCUAUGACAUUUUGUUUUGCUGGAUCUUCCGCCUAUGCUGCAGUGUAUUCUGCUCACAGAGCCCUGAGUUUGAUGACCUCCGGUGGUGUCUUGAUGGUGUGAACCAAUGGUAACGGGCGAUUUAAGCUGUAUGUGCUUAAAAACAGAAGGUCAGUGUAUAAAGGAUGAGCAUGGGUCUUGCUGUACAGUCUGCACUCGAUGUGCUGCCCUGCUGUCAUGGGUAGUAACUACUGAUCAUGGAUUUCUUGGACUCCUAUGAAACCAGCGGUCAGUUGACCUCAGCAGAUGCCACCUCUUGCUGCCACCUCUCCAACCAUGACUGCUAAUGUAAACUCAAAGCAACGGCCAGUUGACCAACCCAAAUUGAUGCUGCUGUGUUGGCUGCAGCUGGUUGAUUCUGCAAAGCUGUAGAAGAUGGGACAAGGGGCGUCAUUUGGAGUUGCGUGUGCCAAAGAGGAGGAUAAGCAAAGUCAAACGGGAUAGACAGUCCCCAACAACUCCCUGUGGCCAUCACAAGAAGCUGCACUGAUGGCCUCUGCUCCCCAGUGUUUUGCUGAUCACAGGGUGCGGGAUAUUUCUUGUAUGAGAGGAAAACCUGCUUCUUCUGCAACGGCACCCUAACUAAUAAUCAAGAAGUGCUGUGGAUCAUCUGAAUGUCUGGAGCUGGCCCCGCUAGGAGAACUCUGCCUCUGUAAAGCUUGAGGCUUGCCUGAACUCUAGCUACACCAGGAGGGACAAGAGCUUGCUAAAAAUAUGGGUGGACUUGGUUUUCCUAUGCACACAUGCUUGUAUCAUGUCUGAACAUGCAAAGAAUAUAAUUAGCUAUUCCCAAGGAAUCCAGUAAAUGGUGAAUCUGCAAACCAA